CAUAAAGCAUCAGAAGAAGAAAAAGAAAACUACAAAAUCAAUCAAAGAGAAGUAAGAGAAAUGGCAGGUUCUAACUGUGGAUGUGGCUCCUCCUGCAAAUGUGGUGAUUCGUGCAGGUAAACCCUAGAUUCUCUCUUCAUUAACUUAUCAUGCAUAUAUAUCUAAUAUACAUGUGGUUACAUA
rnacentral:sRNA from 1 species